AAAAGUGGUGGUGUCAAUCACCCCCCUAGGCUACUGAUGCUUGGGCUUGCUCUUGCUAACUAGCCUAGGCCACUUCACCCUUGAUAAAAUACCAUUGUUGCUUUGGCAGGUCGUGGCCUCGGCCCGCAGCGCCUGCCAGAGGACCCCAAACUCUGAAUAUUAGUGUCGUCUGAGUACUAUAUAAUAGUUA
rnacentral:misc_RNA from 1 species